rnacentral:rRNA from 1 species
AGGGUUUGAUUCUGGCUCAGAACGAACGUUGGCGGCGUGGAUUAGGCAUGCAAGUCGAACGAGAACCUGGGGGCAACUCUGGGGGAAAGUGGCGAAAGGGGCAGUAAGGCAUGGGUAACCAACCCUGGGGACUGGGAUAGCCAUCCUAACGGAUGGGUAAUACCGGGCGAUGUAGCGAGGGCACCUGUUUUUGCUACCAAAUGAAUUUCGCCCUGGGACGGGCUCAUGUGAUAUUAGCUUGUUGGCGGGGUAACGGCCCACCAAGGCAAAGAUGUCUAGCAGGUGUGAGAGCACGACCUGCGCCACUGGCACUGAGACACUGGCCAGACUCCUACGGGAGGCUGCAGUCGAGGAUCUUCGGCAAUGGGCGCAAGCCUGACCGAGCGACGCCGCGUGUGCGAUGAAGGCCUUCGGGUUGUAAAGCACUGUCGAGGGGGAGGAAGCCGCAAGGUUGACCUAUCCCUGGAGGAAGCACGGGCUAAGUUCGUGCCAGCAGCCGCGGUAAGACGAACCGUGCGAACGCUGUUCGGAAUCAUUGGGCUUAAAGGGCGCGUAGGCGGAUGACCAAGUCAGGGGUGAAAUCCUUCGGCUUAACCGGAGAACUGCCUUUGAUACUGGUUGUCUGGAGUGAGGUAGGGGCAUGCGGAACUUCCGGUGGAGCGGUGAAAUGCGUAGAUAUCGGAAGGAACACCGGUGGCGAAGGCGGCGUGCUGGACCUCAACUGACGCUGAGGCGCGAAAGCCAGGGGAGCAAACGGGAUUAGAUACCCCGGUAGUCCUGGCCCUAAACGAUGGGUACUAGAUUGUAGACUGAACAUGGGUUUACAAUCGAAGCAAAAGUGUUAAGUACCCCGCCUGGGGAGUAUGGUCGCAAGGCUGAAACUCAAAGAAAUUGACGGGGGCUCACACAAGCGGUGGAGCAUGUGGCUUAAUUCGAGGCUACGCGAAGAACCUUAUCCUAGGCUUGACAUGUGCGAAAGCGUUGGGAAGUAGAACCUGGAAACAGGAACGAUCGGUAUCCAGUCCGGAACUCAAUACAGGUGCUGCAUGGUUGUCGUCAGCUCGUGUCGUGAGAUGUUGGGUUAAGUCCCCUAACGAGCGAAACCCUUGUCCACAGUUGCCAGCGGGUCAUGCCGGGGACUCUGUGGAGACUGCCGGUGUUAAACCGGAGGAAGGUGGGGAUGACGUCAAGUCCUCAUGGCCUUUAUGCCUAGGGCUGCACACGUGCUACAAUGCCGCGUACAGAGGGAUGCCAACCCGCAAGGGGGAGCAAAUCCCAAAAAAACGCGGCCCAGUUCAGAUCGAAGGCUGCAACUCGCCUUCGUGAAGUCGGAAUCGCUAGUAAUCGCAGGUCAGCAACACUGCGGUGAAUGUGUUCCUGAGCCUUGUACACACCGCCCGUCAAGCCACGAAAGGGAGGAGCGCCCGAAGUCGCCACACCAAGUUGGCGCCGAAGGCGAAACUCCUGAUUGGGACUAAGUCGAAACAAGGUA